rnacentral:rRNA from 1 species
CACGUAGGGGGCGAGCGUUGUCCGGAUUUAUUGGGCGUAAAGAGCUCGUAGGCGGUUCGGCAAGUCGGGUGUGAAAUUUCGAGGCUCAACCUCGAAACGCCACUCGAUACUGCUGUGACUGGAGUCCGGUAGAGGAGUGCGGAAUUCCUGGUGUAGCGGUGAAAUGCGCAGAUAUCAGGAGGAACACCAACGGCGAAGGCAGCACUCUGGGCCGGUACUGACGCUGAGGCGCGAAAGCGUGGGGAGCGAACAGG